rnacentral:rRNA from 1 species
GAUGAACGCUGGCGGCGUGCCUAAUACAUGCAAGUCGAGCGAACAGACGAGGAGCUUGCUCCUCUGACGUUAGCGGCGGACGGGUGAGUAACACGUGGAUAACCUACCUAUAAGACUGGGAUAACUUCGGGAAACCGGAGCUAAUACCGGAUAAUAUAUUGAACCGCAUGGUUCAAUAGUGAAAGACGGUUUUGCUGUCACUUAUAGAUGGAUCCGCGCCGCAUUAGCUAGUUGGUAAGGUAACGGCUUACCAAGGCAACGAUGCGUAGCCGACCUGAGAGGGGGGAGGGCAACAGGGAAAAUGAGACCGGGCCAAAACCCAACGGGGGGGAGGAGGGAGGAAUUCUUCAGAAAGGGGAAAAGCCGGGAGGGAACAACGCGGGGGGAGGAAGAAAGGUUUUCGAAUCAAAAAACUUUUUUAUAGGGAAAAAAAAAUGGUGAAAGAAAUAUUGCACUUCUUAAGGGAACAAAAUAAAAAGAACCCGAAAAACUACGUG